GACGAACGCUGGCGGCGUGCUUAACACAUGCCAGUCGAACGGAAAGGCCUCUUUCGGGGGGUACUCGAGUGGCGAACGGGUGAGUAACACGUGAGUAACCUGCCCUUGACUUUGGGAUAACUUCAGGAAACUGGGGCUAUUACCGGAUAGGAGCUCCUGCGGCAUGGUGGGGGCUGGAAAGUUUCGGCGGUUGGGGAUGGCCUGGCGGCUUAUCCGCUUGUUGGUGGGGUAGUGGCUUACCAAGGCCUUGACGGGUAGCCGGCCUGAGAGGGUGAGCUGCCACAUUGGGACUGAGAUACGGCCCAGACUCCGACGGGAGGCAGAAGUGGGGAAUAUUGCACCAUGGGUGGAAGCCUGAUGCAGCAACGCCGUGUGCGGGAUAACGGCCUUCGGGUUGUAAACCGCUUUCGCUCAUGACGAAGCUUUGUGUGACGGUAGUGGGUAAAGAAGCACCGGCUAACUACGUG
rnacentral:rRNA from 1 species